CUCACGCUCCUGGAGCGGCCGAUAUCUGAUUAGCUAGUAGGUAGGGUAAAGGCCUACCUAGGCGACGAUCAGUAGCUGGUCUGAGAGGACGACCAGCCACACUGGAACUGAGACACGGUCCAGACUCCUACGGGAGGCAGCAGUGGGGAAUUUUGGACAAUGGGGGCAACCCUGAUCCAGCAAUGCCGCGUGAGUGAAGAAGGCCUUCGGGUUGUAAAGCUCUUUUGUCAGGGAAGAAACGGGUUCGGAUAAUACCUGGGCCUAAUGACGGUACCUGAAGAAUAAGCACCGGCUAACUACGUGCCAGCAGCCGCGGUAAUACGUAGGGUGCAAGCGUUAAUCGGAAUUACUGGGCGUAAAGCGUGCGCAGGCGGUUUUAUAAGUUUGUCGUGAAAGCCCCGGGCUCAACCUGGGAAUGGCGAUGAAGACUGUAAGGCUAGAGUGUGUCAGAGGGGGGUAGAAUUCCACGUGUAGCAGUGAAAUGCGUAGAUAUGUGGAGGAACACCGAUGGCGAAGGCAGCCCCCUGGGAUAACACUGACGCUCAUGCACGAAAGCGUGGGGAGCAAACAGGAUUAGAUACCCUGGUAGUCCACGCCCUAAACGAUGUCUACUAGUUGUCGGGUCUUAAUUGACUUGGUAACGCAGCUAACGCGUGAAGUAGACCGCCUGGGGAGUACGGUCGCAAGAUUAAAACUCAAAGG
rnacentral:rRNA from 1 species